UAAGAUACCAGAAAGUUCUUAUAACCUUAAUACUUAAACUCCUUAGGGGAAUUGACAGAUGAUACAUGCUAAAAAUCCCGACUUCCGAAGGGAUGUAUUUAUUAGAUUAAAAACCAAUGCCCUCUGGGCUCUUUGGUGAUUCAUGAUAACUUCUCGAAUCGCACGGCCUUGCGCCGGCGAUGGUUCAUUCAAAUUUCUUCCCUAUCAACUUUCGAUGUUUGGGUAUUGGCCAAACAUGGUUGCAACGGGUAACGGAGGGUUAGGGCUCGACCCCGGAGAAGGAGCCUGAGAAACGGCUACUACAUCCAAGGAAGGCAGCAGGCGCGCAAAUUACCCAAUCCCGACACGGGGAGGUAGUGACAAUAAAUACUGAUACAGGGCUCUUUUGGGUCUUGUAAUUGGAAUGAGUACAAUUUAAAUCCCUUAACGAGGAACAAUUGGAGGGCAAGUCUGGUGCCAGCAGCCGCGGUAAUUCCAGCUCCAAUAGCGUAUAUUAAAGUUGUUGUGGUUAAAAAGCUCGUAGUUGAACCUUGGGCCUGGCUGGCCGGUCCGCCUCACCGCGUGUACUGGUCCGGCCGGGCCUUUCCCUCUGUGGAACCUCAUGCCCUUCACUGGGUGUGACGGGGAAACAGGACUUUUACUUUGAAAAAAUUAGAGUGCUCCAGGCAGGCCUAUGCUCGAAUACAUUAGCAUGGAAUAAUGAAAUAGGACGUGUGGUUCUAUUUUGUUGGUUUCUAGGACCGCCGUAAUGAUUAAUAGGGACAGUCGGGGGCAUCAGUAUUCAAUUGUCAGAGGUGAAAUUCUUGGAUUUAUUGAAGAAUAACUACUGCGAAAGCAUUUGCCAAGGAUGUUUUCAUUAAUCAGGAACGAAAGUUAGGGGAUGGAAGACGAUCAGAUGUAGUCAUAUUCUUGUCUAGAUCCUGGAAGCCAAGUGGAUUGAGCGAUGAUAUAAAU
rnacentral:rRNA from 1 species